UACGGGGGGGGCAAGCGUUGUUCGGAAUUACUGGGCGUAAAGGGCUCGUAGGUGGCCAACUAAGUCGGACGUGAAAUCCCUCAGCUUAACUGGGGAACUGCGUCCGAUACUGGAUGGCUUGAGUUUGGGAGAGGGAUGCGGAAUUCCAGGUGUAGCGGUGAAAUGCGUAGAUAUCUGGAGGAACACCGGUGGCGAAGGCGGCAUCCUGGACCACGACUGACACUGAAAAGCGAAAGCCAGGGGAGCAAACGGG
rnacentral:rRNA from 1 species